ensembl:misc_RNA
CUUUCCUGAGCCAGAAAGAGGCCAGGUAAAGUCGUCUAUGAUAUCCUUCUUAUUCCCCAGAUGUCUGAGGCUUCUUUUUCUUUUGGUCAGAUCUGAUUUGUAUUUCUCCUUGGUUAAUACCCCCGGAGUGCUUCAGGCUGCUUUCUGCCCG